UCUGCCGGCCGCGGCAAAGCCUAACGAGCAGCCGGGAACCGGUCUUGCGUAACGUCCGGUAACGGCCGCUACGAAGCGUAGACAGGGAGGUUGUAGGCCGGAAUCAAGUGAACGGGAGGAUAGCCCCAAAAUCGAACGUGAUCGGAGUAGCCGACCCUGUCUCUCAAAGGGGAAGGCGGAAUCGCAAGCCGCGUCAUCGCGACCGGGCUGAGGUGCUCCCGGGGUUCGUACCG
rnacentral:ncRNA from 1 species